AAGCGUUCUCAGGGCGGGGCGAAAUUCCCCACCGGCGGUAAUGGCGGUUUCUUCGAGAGGGGAGCCGCACGAGCCCGCGAGCGCCCAAGGCCUGCAACAGGCGGCGGGGUCAGCAGAUUUCGGUGCAAUUCCGAAGCCGACGGUCACAGUCCGGAUGAAAGAGAGCGCGA
rnacentral:ncRNA from 1 species